UACUACUGGCAUUCUCCAGGUUCACAGCCAUCCUGAUCACACCAAUGGAUCUACAAGUCUUUCUUUUCUCACAGAUGGGUAAAAUUUCACUAUGUACUGGACCAACACAGCAAUUUAUUAAUACCUUUCUUUUUUUAAAAAAGAUUUUAUUUAUUUAUUCAUGAGAGACACAGAGAGAGAAGCAGAGACACAGGGAGAAGCAGGCUCCCCAAGGGGAGCCUGAUGCGGAACUUGAUUGCAGGACCCCAGGAUCACAACCUGAGUCAAAGGCAGAUGCUGAGCCACCCAGCUUCAACUAAUACCUGGACAACAAAAUGUAUGCGGAUGAUUGUAAGCACAUGAUUCCAUCUGUGAUUAUUUUGGAAGGCUGAGUUAAUAUGGUGUCUACACUGAAAGCAAAUGCAUAUAUUGUAACAGUGAUCUUUUCAAAUGCCAUUUUAGAAGUACCAUGACAAUAAGUGUCAAUGGUGGAUUGCAACUUCAGGAGUGAUUCCUGAUUUAAAAACAAGAAAACUGACACACAGAGAGCUUGAGUAACUUCCUCAGGGGUCAUUCAACCCAGGCAACCAACUUGGGGUCAUAUCAGAUCCAGACAGCUUGCAUUCAGAGGCAGCACACACAAGAUGCUCAAAAAUAUGGCUGGCCUCCUGUGUAGUCUACAAAAGUUGACAGGGGAAAAAAUCAACACUCAAAGGCAUGAAAUUACAUGGACCAUGAACUAUACAUGAAGAAGAUUUGGAUAGAAGACAGAAGACUUUCUUUUUGGUCAGGCAUUUCAUCCACCUAGAAAGACUGUUGAGGUCUGAGUAGAAGACUAGUAGAGGUAGUUUUGCCAUUGGAGAAAGACAGAUAUGCAACGCUAUGUAGCAGUGAUCAGCUGAGCAGGGUCACAUUGUACACAGAGGUUGACCUUUCCAUGGCUAUGGGAGAGAACAUUGGUUAUGAGCCUGGUGCAGGAUUAGAGUAGAAAUGUUUGGCAGAUACAAUGAUUGGCCUUUUCUGGUAUUUUAACAUUUAAAGGCUACAGAUCAAACAUAGGGAAAAAAGAGAGAGAAAAUCAGAUAAAUCACCUCCUUUGAAAUAAGGAAAGGAAGAAGAAAAAUUGAAGACAGAAAUAUCUUUUCACAUCUAAACAAUCCUUGCUACUAGAUUUUCAAUGAAACUAAGCCUAUGGGUCUCAGUAAAUGGUGGAGGAAGUGAGGUUUUAUUCCUAGUCACUGUUAUUAGUUUUAUUCCUUUACUUCUACCCAUACCUAUUUCUGUCUUAUAUUAUUUAGGGAGAGAAAAAGAUAAUUCCUGUAGUAGGAUGCAGUCUUUUAGAAUGUGUCCUUUGUUUCUUGCUAAGAGGAAAUCAAAUGCAAAGAAGAAAGUUUCCCAAGUUACUAGCUCAACAUAAGUGAAUGGAAAAAAAAAAAUAGAAGCUUUUCCUUCAAGUGCCUAACAUUUAUAA